GAAAGUAAAAAAAGCGGGAAACAAGUUGCCCAGCUCGGGGAACAAAGUAAACAAUCGAUUGCCCCGCUUAUAGUGGAAGCCUUCUGUCCGGAUGCCCCCGAGAUCAUACAAGCUGCGGCAGCACAGGGAUUGACUGUAACGAGUGCCAGAGAACAAGCGGCCAACUUAGGUAUUACUCUUCGUGAACUGUUAGCCCUUGAUGAGGCGCCAGUGAAGGAGGUAGUAAUUACAUAUGUCAAGAAUGGGCCUCUCGUCGAGCCUGCGCAGGAAAAGGAUCUACCUCCACAAAUGAAAGGUCUGCUGAAAUGGUACAAGGGUUACAUAAAAAAUAAAAACGCCAAAGAAUAUAUUUAUGCGGAAGUUAGACAUGAG
rnacentral:rRNA from 1 species